UACGUAGGGUGCAAGCGUUAAUCGGAAUUACUGGGCGUAAAGCGUGCGCAGGCGGCUAUGCAAGACAGAUGUGAAAUCCCCGGGCUCAACCUGGGAACUGCAUUUGUGACUGCAUUGCUAGAGUACGGUAGAGGGGGAUGGAAUUCCGCGUGUAGCAGUGAAAUGCGUAGAUAUGCGGAGGAACACCGAUGGCGAAGGCAAUCCCCUGGACC
rnacentral:rRNA from 1 species